rnacentral:lncRNA from 1 species
UUAUCAAUAAAGUACGAUCUAUAUUGUUGGAAGUACAAGCUUUCUUUUCAGGUAAACCGUAUUUUUCAUUUAUGAGAAUUAAAGACUUGAUCUGUACUGUGAAGAUGGAGAUGCUAUAUCAAUUUCUUUUGUCAUCCAAGUCCUUGAUGAGAUCUUAUGUAAAAUCAAUACUUAAACUUCUACUUGUUAAUUAGCCUUGUAUUGUCAAUGGAUUUUCAUUAAAGGAUCCAAUAAGGAUAACUAAACUUACUUUUAGCAUUGUUGAAGCAUAAUAUUUUUAAAAGCAUGCAAGUAAUAUUAACAGGACGGUCAUAGUGUAUUGCUAAUCCGUUUAUAUUUAACUUUAUCUU